CCCUGGCUGGCUGGCUCAACAAAGGGCUGUCUGUGCCUGCUUCUCGCCACGGCUGAGUGCCAGUUGUCUUAAAUCCAGUGCUCCUUGAACCCCAGCCGCUCAUGGCUGCUGCGAGGGCCACCCGUAAUGCCUACACCACGAGCUCACCGAGGACCGGGUUUAAACCAGGGCUCCUUGGCCAUUCUCUGGACAUUUGAGCUGCAUCCUUGUCCCUUUCUGCCUCUCUCAAGCCCCCAGAGGUUCAUGGCUCUGGCUCCCUCUGCCCACAGCAGCUGUGUUGUCAACAGGGACAAAGUCACCUUCCUCUGACAAAGUCACCAUGCUCUGAGCAAGUCAAGCCUGUGUUCAUCUUGGGGACAGAGCCCUGUCCAGAGUAUGAAACCACAUGGAGUCCAUAGGAACUCAAUGCCUGCGCAAAGAUAGACUGAAGACUGCUUUGGAGAGGAGAAAAGGGAGAAGAAUUUGACAGCAGGGCUGAGAGGCAUCCCCUGCCAGGAGCUGGCCUGCGUAAGCCCUUGAUGUGAUGCCCCCUCAUCCAACAAGAGCUUUGGAGAGGAUGCAGUGAUGGUUUAAAGUUGCCUAGUAGCUGGAGGGAGAGACUCACCAGAGAUGUGGAGGCUUCUGCAAGGUCGCGGGCUCCAAAGGCUCCUAGUGGAAGCUGCUGAUGAUCCUGUAGCAGGGCACAAAUGCCUUGCUCCAAGAAGUUUCCUGUGUGCUCAGAGACAAGACUUGACUGUGGCGCCUGGGACCGAGCACCGUGCACUGUGGCUCCUUGCACAUGUCAUGCGGCAAGCAGCUCGUUCGUGGCAGGAAUUCGCCUUCUCCGAGGCAGCCGUUCUCUUUGUUUUUCCUCUCACCACAUAGAAGUAAAUGUGUUUGACAUACAAUAAAAAUCACCUGACUUCA